GCUCUCCCCUGACACGCUGCAGAGAAGCCAGUUGUCCUAUUUUUGGUUAAGGCUGCAGGCUGCCCCGCAAACCUGGGCUCUGAAAUUUCCACCCAGCACACUGGAAGUCGUCCUGCAGGUGGCAAGGAGAAAUGGCUCUAUUUUCCUUGCAGCUCUUCAUGUUCAGGAAACAAGGCAACGACAAUUAGCCCCGUGAUAGGGAUGAUGCUUUCGACUGGAUUUGUUGUACUUGGCUCCCUGUCAGCAGACAGGUUUGGGAUGAAAAAGGUGCACAUUUACGGCGCUUUAAUCAUUGCUGGAGUGCAGCGCCAUGCAAUAAAAGGAGCCCCUUUGCUUUUGAAGCCGGUGAGGAGAUGCAGUUUUAAGAUCAGCUCCCCACUGCUGCUCAGCUCCAAGAUUUAGGCUGUUCGGCUUCCCCUCCUAGAGGUGAGCCUGGCGGCUUUAUCAGAAGCUGUUUAAUAGCAGAGAUGGAUCAAAGAGAAAGAUUCCCAGCUGCGGCCCAAUACACUCUGGCACAGGCUGCUGGUAAAGCAGGCUAGCAUCCGAAGGGCUGGCCCUGUCCAUGGCACAGUUUGGGCUUUUUAAUGAUCCCAGCUUUCAGGAGCAGAUAAAUUUGUGUUCGCUCUCCUUCAGCCAGCCCAGUUCAGACCAGUGGCCAGCAGCAAGCGACACAGAACCAAGGAAAUCACCAAAGCGCCAUUUCUGCUGAAGAGAAGGAAGAAUUGGACCGCUUUUAGCAGCCCUGGGAGGCAUGAAAACCUACCAGAAAGCCCCAGCCGUUCUUCAGACAAAGUUUUUCUCUCCAAGCCAAAUUCUUCAGUGUCCUUUUUUCAUUAAGUGUCUUCUGCUAGAUCACUCUGCAGGAGCAAAGUGAUGGACAAAGCAGUCACAGCCGCCUCGUAGCAGCCCCAGCACAACAGGCAGCCCGCUAACAGCGCGUGCAUGCCAUGGAGAAGUGGCAGAAAAAAUCUGAACAGAACUGAGGGCACGGGUUUAUGAAUUGUCCUGGCAAAAACACGAUCUUAAAAUUUGCAACCGUGCCCUGACAAUGUCCCGACAAGGAAGGGCAGGGGGCACUUCCCAGGGAUUAUAACCAGCUGGAAGUUGUAACCCCGGCUGUUUUUCUCAUUCACGGCAAUACGAUCAGGUUAACAUGCCUUUUUGUUAUUAUAGCCCGUGUGGAUUUUUCUACUGGGGCGCAGAAAGGCAGUUUCCUAAUGGAAAGUGCUGCCCCUUCCCCUAGCUCUGCCUUUGCCCAAGCAGGGCGCAGUCCUUGGGCGCAGCUCGGCGUGCCAGCACGGCCAGGCCUGGCAGCUGUGCUUGAGCACGAGCUGGUUUUACAGAAUUGCUCCCAAGUUCUACUGUUUUAUGGUGGGAAGGAACAGGAAUUACACACGGCGUUUAUUUUUAGCUAUAUUUUUUGCUUUAUCUUAGCUGCUUUUUGCUUUUGCCUCUGCAGAUGGGUAAGGAAGAGAUAGGGCAAGAUGCCUUCGCUGAAUAGCCCCCCACGUUUGUCUACAUCCAAAUAAUUCAGGAAAAAAAAAGUCACUGUGGAAAAACAUUUCUAAAAGAGUCAAAACCUUUCUAUUCCAAAUGUGAGCCUUUAAAACUGGGGCAGCAAUUGCACCUCUGGGAAUCUCCCUGCGUUACAAGGAGCAAAUGCAAGGAGCUGGCACCUCCGCAGCGCUCCCAUCAGAAACCCACCCCAGUGGCUGCUCCCCCCCAGCUGGCUGCUGGGACAUGUUGCAGCAGUCAGCUCAUCUUUGGUGCUCGUGUUUUCCCCCCAUUAACGGAGCAGAUCUGGACCUGCUGUGGCUCUGCUCUGCUGCUGUUGGGAGAUCAUUAGUCCGAUCGAGCAGGGCCUCAACUACAGCACCUCAGGGUGGUAUAAACCCCAUCCAAGGGGUUUAGAAGCAAGAGCCCUUGCUAAAUUUAUUUAAAUUUGUUUAAAGUUGACUAGAGGGUGAACGUUUGAUCUGUGUUCAGCCUUUCCCCACUUUCCGAAGAUAGUCACAUUUGCGGAUCUGAAGUCUGGAUCUAAUAUAUAGCACUGUAUUAAUAGAUGUUGGAAAGGGUUGCUACAAGCUAUUACUGAGGCAAAGUAAAAGAAA